CGCUCUGGUGGCCUAGUGGUUAGAACGUCCGCAUCGGAUGCGGAAGUUCGUGGGUUCGAUCCCCGGUCGAGUCA